AAGCUAUGACGAGUUUGUACUAAUUGUGAUGGCUGGGUCUAUCACUAACGUCAUUCGACGAAAACUAGUAUAUCUGAGCUC
rfam:Lupinus angustifolius cultivar Tanjil contig_23030, whole genome shotgun sequence.